CCUUGCUUGGAGCCCAUCUUUCUUCCUAAAGCCUGCCUCUCCCCUUGGCCCAUUUAGCCCACCAUCCCCAUCGAAAGGGUAUCUCUUUUUCCCUGUCGUCUUCCUAGGAGAGCACGAGAGAAGCGUGUUCUCUUUUCCUUGCCCGGCGUCACACUCCACCACUACGACGCCAACCAAGCCCUCCCCUUUUCCCCUUCUUUAAUCCCAUCUGAGGCUUCCCCAAACCCUAGCCCUCUCUCCCAUAUACGCCGCCGCCACCUACCUCCCUCCAUCCUCUUCUCUGUGAGCAACAAAACAGGGGAAAACCCCACUGCCACGACCGUCCUCGCCAUGGCGCCGCUGCUCCAGGGCUCCCCUUGCCACUCCGAGACCACCCACAGAACCGCCUCGGCGUCCUCUAUAUUCUCCCCAAAGGAAUCGAGCCAGGGUGCUCUUAAUCGUCGCCAAAUCGCGUCUUCUUCUCCGACCCCGGCGACAAAAACUCGUCGAUUCCGGCGAGCACCUUGCACCUCCGGCCAAACCGAGCCCACCUACAUCUUCAUGGCCUUCGUCGCCGGCGAGCUUCCGGUGAUGCUCCGGCACCACAAGCGCCAUGUUCUGGUUCACCAAGUCCUCCCGCAUCGAGCGCACCCUCGCGCCCGUCCCGUCUCAUCCGUUUUCCGUCGUCUCCGUGCUCGACCAGAUCUCCCCGCCAUGACGCUGUUUUGAAGCUCGUCCCUGCCUUUUGUUUGUUCUUGUUGGGUUGCAGCAGUUUCUUUGCAAGAUCACUGUGGCAGCCUAACUGGUGGAUCCCACCCGUCAGCCUCUGUCGGCGCCACCUCAGCUUCCCUGCCUCGUCAGCGACCCAGUCAGCACCCAGACCCACAUGUCAGCGCCUGUGGCUACGUCCUUGUGGCAUUUGCUUCUUCCCGGAUAGGAUCACGAAGUGGUG